CUGAUUUUAUAAUCGAUAAGCCAGAUAUCGAUAGUUUUGGCGUCUUUUAAUUACCGAAUUUUCAGAAUUAAAUAUAUUUUGUAGAUUUAUUAAACUCGUAACAAUUGUAUUGUAUUUUAUUUUAAAGUUUUUAUAAUUCUUUACAGCUGAUUUAAACCAAAUCAGUACUGAAGCUUCAUAAGUAUUGUUAUUGCCCAACAGCUCCUUGGGAUCCACAUAGAUUAUGCCAUCCUUGCCACGAGCAUAUGGCGUCAAGCCAUUCGUUUGUAAGUAAAAAUCGCCAUGUAUACUAAGGAAACAAAUAAUAAGUUAAAUAUAUAAUUUAA